AUUCCAUGAUGGGGACAUUCUAGGAUGUAGUCUUGGAAGCGCUCCCAUGCUUCUGGAACAGAUUCAUCAUGUUGUUGCAGAAAACUCGUAAUUUCCCCACGGAGAGC
rnacentral:snoRNA from 1 species